AGGUCUUCGAAGAGGAAGCAUCACUAGCUCCUGAAGAGAUUCUUUGAUAUCUUCCAUGGCACCAAUAUCUUCAAAAGUUACACCUAUUUCAUUUGCUGGUAUAACCUCUGGCCUUAUCCGCUUUUCGAAUUCAUUAUCGGGGGAAACUUCCUGUUUUCAAAAUAGAAUGGUAUGCUUGCAUGAAUGGUCAUAGUAAGGAAGGAGAAAUCUAUAAAGUGUGAAUCAUGUAAGCCAUUCUAACCUAGUGAAGAAGAAUUAUGUAAAUUAUUGUUCUUAGUUCCUGUAUUUUAUCAAUGAAUGAAUCUUUGCUAGAUCUUGAAGUGUUCAUCUGAAACUGUUGGUACAGUUAAUAUGUCCAUGUUCAGGCAUUAAAAAUUAGUCCAUUUUAAGAGAAAAAAGAAAAGAGUAAUUUACUGGAAGUUUUGGGGCUACAACUGGAUUUUCUCCUUCCGUCUUUGCUGCAGUUAUUUUCUCUGUUUCACUUUUAUUUUCAUGAUUUGUGCCUUCAGAUUUUGCUCCAGGCUUCACAACAGCUGGCUCUCCGCUUCCUGAUUCCUAAAUAGUUAACAAGAGUCAUGAAUAACCUUGGGUUAGUAUUAUACCUGCUUGACUUCUUUCAAUUACAGGUGUACAAGAAACAGGAGUUAAUACAGACCUUAACAGUUUCUGUUUGAGCUUCCAACUUCAAUGUGUCUUUGCCAGCAGAUUUCCCUUCCUGGAAAAUGCUCAAUCCAUGGGACAAACUGUUUAAAUGCAGACACAAUUAGUACAUACCCAGAUAAUGCUGGGGAUUGCAGUGAAAAGGAUUACAAAUCUUACCUCUUGGAUGAUAUAAUGAGUUUUCCAUUUCUAUAGUCAACAUCCUUAUUGUUCAUUAAAUGGUAAGAAAUUGCUGAUACCAUGAUCUCUUCGAUGUAAUUACUGAGGGCCGUUGUAUCUCCAAUGCAGAUUGAGUCCAGAUCAUCACAAUCCACAUCGUUGGAAGAAAGUACCUCCAUAAUGUGAUUUCUAUUAUCCUGAACUUUGAUCAUCUUCAUGUCCUGCUCCAGCUGAGACUUCCAGCUGACGCGAUGGUUUUCAUCUUCUGGUGGCCGUAUCUCAAUGUUAUAAGGGAAAAGGGCCAGAAGCCUAUCAUCUAACUCUCUAUACUGAUCACUAAGAUCAACGAUUCGUGACCCAAGGAUGAGUACAGAUCCUGAAAGUUUGUUCAACAUUUUCUGAAACAAACUAUAUAUUCUUUGUGACCUAAACAAUAGCUUAUCAAUGUCCCUGAGAUAGAGCACAAUCGGUGUGGUCUUUGAGACACAAGUCAGGACCUGCAAAAUAAAUUGAAAAUUGAUAAUCAUUUGUUACCAUCUGUAUAAAGUAAUAUUUAGUUAGUCGAAUUCUGUUGCAGACUGAUUUCUGAACUUUAAGGUGUUUGCUGAAAAUGAUAUACCUUGUAAAGAGACUGUAUAAGAAGCUUCUCAUCAAAAGACCAGCUGCUUGUGCGCUUCAGAGGUGCUGAAAAGAGCAGUAUGGAGGAAAGAUUCAAGUUAUGAGAAGCAAAAAGGUACAAUGGCUAUCAAGCAUAAACAGUUUGUGCAUGUGAAAAAGAAAAACGUACAGGGCAUGCUCAAUUAUUUCAACCAUUUCUUCUGCAAGUGGAAUUGUUGAACCAACAAUUUUCAGUCCCAGAUAUACGGCCGCUAUUGAUGGCUGCUAUUGGUUUUGCUAAUUGAGAGAUGAAUCAACAGUUCCGUUCGUCUUCUGGUUUCAUUGAUUUUACUUUUAUAGUUUCUAUUUCUGCUGAUGCAGUAAGGUUUUGUUUAUGUUCCACGGCUUGUUAUUUGUUUAUGAUUGGUUUGAACAGAAUCCUAUUUGAUUGUAGCCAAUUUAUAAUACAAAAUUACCAGUAAGUUUAUGUAAUUUUAAUUUUAAAGAUACGGUAAGUAUAUAUAGUCCAAAAUUUCAUGAACAAACCUGGAUUUGCAGGAGUGCAUUGAGAAGCCAGAUUACUGAUAUUGGCAGAGGCAGAUGCAUUUUUGCGUAAAGGGAGAGAAUUACGAGAACUCUCCAUUCCACUGCAGUUAGGAAGAAG
rnacentral:lncRNA from 1 species